CGCUGCACUUCUAAGGAUGUCUCCAGGAGACCCAGACGGUCAAGCCUGUGGUUGAGAUGCAAGCGGUCCCUCAGAUGAGAGUCUUGGAAUCCAGGGAGACACAGGAAAACUCAACUGUACCUGGCACCAGCUCCACCCCCUAGUUAAGGAAUGCAAAAGGUGAUGAGGGGGGUCACCAUGGAAACAGCAGUGCCAGAGGAAGGCCAACGGCGUGAACAUUCCCUUCAGAGUCGCCGCUG